CACACUGAUGGAAUGACUUCCUCCACAGCUCUGAGAAGGUGGAGUCCUAAAGGACAUGUAGUCUCUUGGCAGUUAAGCAGGACAGAGCUCUAAAGCACUGAGUCCGAAGCUGGACCUGCCGUUGAUCCUGGUCACGGCCGUUCGAAGCGAUGCAGGUGAAGAAGCCAGCAUCUUCAGAGCCAACACGACUGAUCACCAGGGCACCAUCUGACUGCUGCCUGUGCCUGGGGACAAAAGCCACAAAUUCCCCUGAGUUUUGGGAAGGGAGAGGGAGAGUGCGGUCAUGGUGUUAGCAGCAGCUCUGCAGGGCCUUGAUUCUCUCGGGUAGAGAAUGCAUCAUCCGCCAGGAGCCCCAGCGUUGGCACGCACAAGGGCUGCCGUGAUGACAACACAGCCACAUGUACUCACCUGGAAGAGGAGACAGGCUGCCCAUCCUUCU